UGGGGAUAUAGCUCAGUGGCAGAGUGUAUGCUUAGCUUGUGCAAGGCCCUGGGUUCAACCCCCAGCAAUGCACAA
rnacentral:tRNA from 1 species